rnacentral:lncRNA from 1 species
UGUAGUCAAGGCAAGGGGGCAGGGUAAGGAGUGCCAGUCAUCUCCAAUGAUCGAUAGGUCACGCGAGUCACGUGUCCACUGGACAGGGGGCCUUUCCCUUUGUGGUAGCCGAGGUGGAGAGGGAGGACAGCAAACGUCAGCGUUUCUUCUAUGCACUUAUCAGAAAGAUCGAAGACUGUGGUACUCCUACUAGUUCUGCUACUGCUGUCUUCUAAGAACUUAAAAGGAGGAGCCAGGUGUACAGGCUGAACAUGAAAGUGAACAAGGAGCGUGACCACUGAAGCACAGCAUCACAGGGAGACAGACGUUGGAGCCUCCGGAUGACUGCGGGCCGGCCUGGCUAAUGUCAGACCUCCCACAAGAGGUGGUGGAGCGGAGCGUUCUCUGUCUCCCCUGGAGAGAGGGAGAUUCCCUUUCCGGGUCUGCUAAGUAACGGGUGCCUUCCCAGGCACUGGGGCCACGCUAGACCAAGGCCUGCUAAGUAACCAGGGCCUUCCCAGGCACUGGCAUUACCGCUAGGCCAAGGAGCCCUCCAGCGGCCCUUCUCUGGGCGUGAAUGAGGGCUC